AUUAGUUUUUUAAUUGAAGGCUAGAAUGAAUGGUUGGACAAGAAAUAAUCUGUCUUAAACUAAGAUAUUGAAUUUAACUUUUGAGUGAAAAGGCUUAAAUGAUCUAAAGGGACGAUAAGACCCUAUAAAACUUUAUAUUUUAAAGUAGAAAAUAAUUUUAUUUAAAUGUUAUUAUUUUAAAAUAUUUUGUUGGGGUGACAAGGAUAUAAUAAUGGGUAACUGUCUUUUAUUUUUACAAUAAUAUUUGAUUUGUUGAUCCUAAAAGGGAUUAAAGAUUAAGUUACUUUAGGGAUAACAGCGUAAUUUUUUUUGAGAGUUCUUAUCGACAAAAAAGUUUGCGACCUCGAUGUUGAAUUAAAAAUUCUUUAUAGAGUAGAGACUAUAAAAGAAGGUCUGUUCGCCCUUUAAAAUUUUACAUGAUUUG
rnacentral:rRNA from 1 species